GACGGGGGAUGCAAGUGUUAUCCGGAAUCACUGGGCGUAAAGCGUCUGCAGGUGGUUUCCUAAGUCCACUGUUAAACCUUGAGGCUCAACCUCAAAUCUGCAUUGGAAACUAGGAGACUUGAGUAUAGUAGGGGUAGAGGGAAUUUCCAGUGGAGCGGUGAAAUGCGUAGAUAUUGGAAAAAACACCGAUGGCGAAGGCACUCUACUGGGCUAUUACUGACACUCAGAGACGAAAGCUAGGGGAGCAAAUGGG
rnacentral:rRNA from 1 species